AGUUUGAUUCUGGCUCAGGUCGUUUGGCGGGAUGCUUUACACAUACCGUCGGGCCAGCAGCACGGACUUCGGUCUGGUGGCGAGUGAUGGCGAACAGGGUGAAGUAAUGUAUCGGAACGUGCCUAGUAGCGGGGGAUAACUACGCCGAAAGCGUAGCCUUCAGCCUACAUACGCCCUUCGGGGGAAAGCAGGGGGACCUUCGGGCCUCGCACUAUUAGAGCGGCCGAUGGAUGGCUAAUAGUUGGUGGGGUAACGGCUCACCAAGGCGACGAUCCGUAGCUGGUUUGAGAGGACGACCAGCCACACUGGGACUGAGACACGGCCCAGACUCCUACAGGAGGCAGCAGUGGGGAAUUUUGGACAAUGGGGAAACCCUGAUCCAGCCAUCCCGCGUGUGCGAUGAAGGCCUUCGGGUUGUAAAGCACUUUUGGCAGGAAAGAAACGGCACGGGAUAAUACCCGUGCAACUGACGGUACCUGCAGAAUAAGCACCGGCUAACUACGUGCCAGCAGCCGCGUGUGCACGUAGGGUUGCGGCGCGUUAAUCCGAUUACUGGGCGUAAAGCGUGCAGGCGGUUCCGGAAAGAAAGAUGUGAAAUCCCAGGCUCUUAACUUUGAGACACAUUUUUAACUACCAGAGCUAGAGUGUGUCAGAGGGAGGUGGAAUUCCAUGUAGCAGUGAAAUGCGUAGAUAUGCGGAGGAACACCGAUGGCGAAGGCAACCUCCUGGGAUAACACUGACGCUCAUGCACGAAAGCGUGGGAGCAAACAGGAUUAGAUACCCUGGUAGUCCACGCCUAAACAUGAUGCCAACUAGCUGUUGUUGGGGCCUUCGGGCCUUGGUAGCGCAGCUAACGCGUGAAGUUGACCGCCUGGGGAGUACGGUCGCAAGAUUAAAACUCAAAGGAAUUGACGGGGACCCUUUGAAAGCGGUGGAUGAUGUGGAUUAAUUCGAUGCAACGCGAAAAACCUUACCUACCCUUGACAUGUCUGGAAUCCCGAAGGGGUGGGAGGAGUGCUCGCAAGAGAACCGGAACACAGGUACCAUGGCUGUUGUCAGCUCGUGUCGUGAGAUGUUGGGUUAAGUCCUGAGCGCAACCCUUGUCAUUAGUUGCUACGAAAGGGCACUCUAGUAAGACUGCCGGUGACAAACCGGAGGAAGGUGGGGACGUCAAGUCCUCAUGGCCCUUAUGGUGGGGCUUCACACGUCAUACAAUGGUCAGGACAGAGGGUCGCCAACCCGCGAGGAGCCAAUCCCGAAACCCGAUCGUAGUCCGGAUCGCAGUCUGCAACUCGACUGCGUGAAGUCGGGGCUCCGCUAGUAAUCGCGGAUCAGCAUGUCGCGGUGAAUACGUUCCCGGGUCUUGUACACACCGCCCGUCACACCAUGGGAGUGGGUUUUACCAGAAGUAGUUAGCCUAGCCGUAAGGAGGCGAUUACCACGGUAGGAUUCAUGACUGGGGUGAAGUCGUAACAAGGUAGC
rnacentral:rRNA from 1 species